rnacentral:rRNA from 1 species
GACGAACGCUGGCUGCGUGCUUAACACAUGCAAGUCGAACGGAAAGGCCCUGCUUUUGUGGGGUGCUCGAGUGGCGAACGGGUGAGUAACACGUGAGUAACCUGCCCUUGACUUUGGGAUAACUUCAGGAAACUGGGGCUAAUACCGGAUAGGAGCUCCUGCUGCAUGGUGGGGGUUGGAAAGUUUCGGCGGUUGGGGAUGGACUCGCGGCUUAUCAGCUUGUUGGUGGGGUAGUGGCUUACCAAGGCUUUGACGGGUAGCCGGCCUGAGAGGGUGACCGGCCACAUUGGGACUGAGAUACGGCCCAGACUCCUACGGGAGGCAGCAGUGGGGAAUAUUGCACAAUGGGCGGAAGCCUGAUGCAGCAACGCCGCGUGCGGGAUGACGGCCUUCGGGUUGUAAACCGCUUUCGCCUGUGACGAAGCGUGAGUGACGGUAAUGGGUAAAGAAGCACCGGCUAACUACGUGCCAGCAGCCGCGGUGAUACGUAGGGUGCGAGCGUUGUCCGGAUUUAUUGGGCGUAAAGGGCUCGUAGGUGGUUGAUCGCGUCGGAAGUGUAAUCUUGGGGCUUAACCCUGAGCGUGCUUUCGAUACGGGUUGACUUGAGGAAGGUAGGGGAGAAUGGAAUUCCUGGUGGAGCGGUGGAAUGCGCAGAUAUCAGGAGGAACACCAGUGGCGAAGGCGGUUCUCUGGGCCUUUCCUGACGCUGAGGAGCGAAAGCGUGGGGAGCGAACAGGCUUAGAUACCCUGGUAGUCCACGCUGUAAACGGUGGGUACUAGGUGUGGGGUCCAUUCCACGGGUUCCGUGCCGUAGCUAACGCUUUAAGUACCCCGCCUGGGGAGUACGGCCGCAGGGCUAAAACUCAAAGGAAUUGACGGGGCCCCGCACAAGCGGCGGAGCAUGCGGAUUAAUUCGAUGCAACGCGUAGAACCUUACCUGGGUUUGACAUGGAUCGGGAGUGCUCAGAGAUGGGUGUGCCUCUUUUGGGGUCGGUUCACAGGUGGUGCAUGGCUGUCGUCAGCUCGUGUCGUGAGAUGUUGGGUUAAGUCCCGCAACGAGCGCAACCCUUGUUCACUGUUGCCAGCACGUUAUGGUGGGGACUCAGUGGAGACCGCCGGGGUCAACUCGGAGGAAGGUGGGGAUGACGUCAAGUCAUCAUGCCCCUUAUGUCCAGGGCUUCACGCAUGCUACAAUGGCUGGUACAGAGAGUGGCGAGCCUGUGAGGGUGAGCGAAUCUCGGAAAGCCGGUCUCAGUUCGGAUUGGGGUCUGCAACUCGACCUCAUGAAGUCGGAGUCGCUAGUAAUCGCAGAUCAGCAACGCUGCGGUGAAUACGUUCCCGGGGCU